GAUUAAGUUAUUAAGGGCGCACGGUGGAUGCCUUGGCACUAGAAGCCGAUGAAGGACGUUACUAACGACGAUAUGCUUUGGGGAGCUGUAAGUAAGCUUUGAUCCAGAGAUUUCCGAAUGGGGAAACCCAGCAUGAGUUAUGUCAUGUUAUCGAUAUGUGAAUACAUAGCAUAUCAGAAGGCACACCCGGAGAACUGAAACAUCUUAGUACCCGGAGGAAGAGAAAGAAAAUUCGAUUCCCUUAGUAGCGGCGAGCGAAACGGGAAGAGCCCAAACCAACAAGCUUGCUUGUUGGGGUUGUAGGACACUCUAUACGGAGUUACAAAGGACGACAUUAGACGAAUCAUCUGGAAAGAUGAAUCAAAGAAGGUAAUAAUCCUGUAGUCGAAAAUGUUGUCUCUCUUGAGUGGAUCCUGAGUACGACGGAGCACGUGAAAUUCCGUCGGAAUCUGGGAGGACCAUCUCCUAAGGCUAAAUACUCUCUAGUGACCGAUAGUGAACCAGUACCGUGAGGGAAAGGUGAAAAGCACCCCGGAAGGGGAGUGAAAUAGAACCUGAAACCGUGUGCUUACAAGUAGUCAGAGCCCGUUAAUGGGUGAUGGCGUGCCUUUUGUAGAAUGAACCGGCGAGUUACGAUUUGAUGCAAGGUUAAGCAGUAAAUGUGGAGCCGUAGCGAAAGCGAGUCUGAAUAGGGCGUUUAGUAUUUGGUCGUAGACCCGAAACCAGGUGAUCUACCCUUGGUCAGGUUGAAGUUCAGGUAACACUGAAUGGAGGACCGAACCGACUUACGUUGAAAAGUGAGCGGAUGAACUGAGGGUAGCGGAGAAAUUCCAAUCGAACCUGGAGAUAGCUGGUUCUCUCCGAAAUAGCUUUAGGGCUAGCCUCAAGUGAUGAUUAUUGGAGGUAGAGCACUGUUUGGACGAGGGGCCCCUCUCGGGUUACCGAAUUCAGACAAACUCCGAAUGCCAAUUAAUUUAACUUGGGAGUCAGAACAUGGGUGAUAAGGUCCGUGUUCGAAAGGGAAACAGCCCAGACCACCAGCUAAGGUCCCAAAAUAUAUGUUAAGUGGAAAAGGAUGUGGCGUUGCCCAGACAACUAGGAUGUUGGCUUAGAAGCAGCCAUCAUUUAAAGAGUGCGUAAUAGCUCACUAGUCGAGUGACACUGCGCCGAAAAUGUACCGG
rnacentral:rRNA from 1 species